CUGAAGUUUAUACAACAAAGAAGCUACCCUGCCAGCUGAUAUUCGUAGAACUUAUGAAGAUUUGGAGUAAGUCAAAAAGAAUCAUCAAGCCUUUACUGAGAAGUCUAAUCAUGAGAUUUCCAAACUUCGAGAGGAAAUUCGAUUGACAGAGUUUGAGCAAUACAUUUCUGCUAGAGACCUUGAAAAAGUGACAAAUGAAUUAGCCUUGCAUCGCAAUUGAGUAGAAAGUAGUGAAACAAAGCUUGCUAUUACAGAGUCUAGCCUUGUUGAGGUAGGCGCUUGCGAAGCCAAACUCAUUGAAGUGGAUAACGAUAUACUUGACAUUAUUAGGGAUUUUCAUCCUGAUUUGAAUAUGAACUUUCUAGAGGCCUGUGAAGAAAAUGUCACUAAUAUCUUAUCUUUUGAGGCCUCUUUAACCUUUGAAGCCUUAGAUACCUCCAUCACUCCUAGUUGAGCCUCCUCAGCUUACAAACCCCUUGUUAUUGUUUCAUUAGUUGAAACUGCCCCUAUUAUUGAGCCACCUUCGGCUUCUGAUAUCGUUUCUCCUUCUCCAAUUACUAAGGCUACCUUACAUGUUAGCCAGAAAGAUUUACCUUUUGAAAAUUUAC
rnacentral:lncRNA from 1 species